CUGGGAAUCCAAGUGAGAGAUAUAGAGAAGGAAGGGAAGUAAGCAAGCACAGACGCUGGCAGCCAUCAGAAGUUCAAGCCUCUUUGACAACAGGAGGCGAGAAGAAAGGACAGAAGUGGUUCUGGCUACAAUGGGGCUCUUACUGGGCCUCCUGCUCCUAGGCCACCUAACAGUGGUCACCUAUGGCCAUCCCAUCCUGGAAGCACCUGAGAGUGUGACAGGGCCUUGGAAAGGAGAUGUGAAUAUACCCUGCACCUAUGGUCCUCUGCAAGGCUACACUCAAGUCUUGGUAAAGUGGCUGGUACAACGUGGCUUGGACCCAGUCACCAUCUUCCUACAUGAUUCCUCUGGAGACCAUAUCCAGCAAGCAAAGUACCGGGGCCGUCUGCAAGUGAACCAUGAGGUUCCAGGAGAUGUGUCCCUCCAACUGAAUACCCUGGAGAUGGAUGACAGGAGCCACUACACAUGUGAAGUCACUUGGCAGACCCCUAAUGGCAACCAAGUGGUGAGAGAUAAGAUCAUUGAGCUCCGUGUCCAGAAACUCUCUGUUUCCAAGCCCACGGUGACAACUGGCAGUGGCUAUGGCUUCACAGUACCCCAGGGAAUGAGGAUUAGCCUUCAAUGCCAGGCUUGGGGUUCUCCUCCCAUCAGUUAUGUUUGGUACAAGGAACAGACCAACAAUCAAGAACCCAUCAAAGUAGCAGUCUUGAGUACCUUACUCUUCAAGCCUGCCAUGGUGGCUGACUCAGGCUCCUAUUUCUGUACUGCCAAGGGCCGGGUAGGCUCUGAGCAGCAAAGCAACAUUGUGAAGUUUGUGGUCAAAGAUUCCUCAAAGCCACUCAAGCCUAAGACUGAAGCACCUACAACCAUGAAAUCUCCCUUAGAAGCAACCUCUACAGUGAACCUGAUUUGGAACUGGACCACUGAAGUGGAUGGCUACCUUGGGAAGACCAGUGCUGAGCCAGGAAAGGGCCUGCCUGUCUUUUCCAUUGUUCUCAUCAUUUCCCUGUGCUGUAUGGUGGUCUUCAUCAUGGCUUAUAUUAUGCUCUGCCGGAAGACAUCCCAGCAAGAGCAUGUCUACGAAGUGGCCAGCCACCUUCCCUGCUACCUCUCUUCCUGGAUGACCCAACAUGUCUUCCCUGCCCAACACUGAGGUUCCUAAGAGUGAUUGGUUUUACCUAAGAAGUUACCAUAUGCACUGCUACUGGAUACCACGCAACUUUGGCCUCUUGCCACCAGAAGACCAGAGGGAAACUCAGCUUUGCCAGCUCAGGGGACCAGUUGUUUCCAGGAUCACUUCCCUUUUUUUUAAGGGCCAGAUAGCUUUUAAAUAAGAUUUGUAACUAACAGGUUAGGAUUCAGUUUUGCUCCUGAACUGUGAGUCUAGUGCUCUGGUAUUCUUUUGAUGCUCAAUAAAUAUCUAAUCAUGAUAGCAA